ACAUUGGUGAUUCAGUGGCAGAAUUCUCGCCUUGCAUGCAGGACACCUGAGUUCGAUUCUGGGCCAAUACA
rnacentral:tRNA from 1 species